GCAGGGGCGACGAAUUGAGUGAAGUAGAAGAAACCUGGUCAAAUUAUCGUAGGGUUUCUUGUGGAUAUCACAAUUCGAGGCAAGAGGCUUAAAGCUCUGAGAAUCACCCCAUGGACAGACGACAACCUAGGGAAAAGGUUCUAUGGUUGUAGAAAUUGGAAGAUGGAAAAGCUGUGGUUUUUUCUAAUGGUAUGACGAGCCAAUGUGUGAGAGAGCUAGAGAAGUUAUAAACGAGUUGAAGAUUGAAAAUGCGAAGCUCCUAAAGAUCCAUCAAAGUUCCCCCCCCCCAUGGAUGUGAAAAAUGAAAUUGAUGAUCUUUGGAAUAUAAUCGAAGGCUUGAAGGAAGAAACCAGGAGAGUUAGAAGGAAAAUUUUUAUUGUUGUGAUGGUUUUGAUACUAUCUUGGUUGAUGAUAGGCUAUGUUCUUCAAGCAUGAAGAAAUUUGUGUUUUUGUCUUGUUAGUCUUUCAUUACUUUUGUAUUUUGUUCUUAAAUCAAUGAAUGAAAGAAAUGAAUUUG